rnacentral:sRNA from 1 species
AUGCAAUUCAUCACAGUCCACAAAGCACAGUUCCUAACAGAUUCUGAAAACAUGAUUUAAAAAAAAAUGAGAUUUAUCCGUAAAAGAGAGCUAGGCUACAGUGUCAGGGCGGCUGUCAAUUCUCCUACGGAGUUUUAACCUACACUCAAUGGAUGCAUGAAAAAAAGAAAUGAAAUGAUUUUUUUAGCUACUUUAAAAAAUAAAGGUAUUCCUUCAUAACAAUGCAAAUGAACUCAGACACAAGUCUCUGUGUUCUCCUUCAUCUAUCGUGCUACCCGAGGUUUGUUUACGUGGUAGAGACAAGGUUCAGAGAGAAAUGGUUGAAACCAGCGUAGCUUCUUGAGACACAAUGCCACUUAUGCCACAUGCUAUUGGCCAGAGCAAGUCACAGAACAUCUGGAUUCAAGAGGAGGGAAAUGGAUUCCACACCUUGAUGGAGGAGAUGCAAAGUCAUAUCACUUGGGACAUGGAUACAGGGAGGGGUGCAAUUUGGGAUGUUUUUGCAAUUAACCUACCACAGGCUUAAGGAGGCUUUUAGGAUUUACCUUCUG